UACGUAGGCAGCGAGCGUUGUUCGGAAUUACUGGGCGUAAAGAGUGUGUAGGCGGUGCUCCCAGUCUGUUGUGAAAUCUCCCGGCUUAACUGGGAGGGUGCAGCGGAAACUAGAGUGCUAGAGGGUGGGAGAGGUAAGCGGAAUUCCUGGUGUAGCGGUGAAAUGCGUAGAUAUCAGGAGGAACACCUGUGGUGUAGACAGCUUACUGGACCACUUCUGACGCUGAGACACGAAAGCCAGGGGAGCAAACGGG
rnacentral:rRNA from 1 species